AGUACGAUCGCAAGAUUAAAACUCAAAGGAAUUGACGGGGCCCCGCACAAGCAGCGGAGCAUGCGGCUUAAUUCGACGCAACGCGAAGAACCUUACCAAGGCUUGACAUAUAGGGAAAAGUGGCAGAGAUGUCAUGUCCGCAAGGGCCCUAUACAGGUGGUGCAUGGUUGUCGUCAGCUCGUGUCGUGAGAUGUUGGGUUAAGUCCCGCAACGAGCGCAACCCUCGUUCUGUGUUGCCAGCAUUUAGUUGGGGACUCACAGGAGACUGCCGGGGUUAACUCGGAGGAAGGUGGGGAUGACGUCAAAUCAUCAUGCCCCUUAUGUCUUGGGCUGCACGCAUGCUACAAUGGCCGGUACAGAGGGCUGCAAUACCGUAAGGUGGAGCGAAUCCCAAAAAGCCGGUCUCAGUUCGGAUUGAGGUCUGCAACUCGACCUCAUGAAGUUGGAGUUGCUAGUAAUCGUAGAUCAGCAUCGCUACGGUGAAUACGUUCCCGGGGCUUGCACACACCGCCCGUCACGUCACGAAAGUCGGUAACACCCAAAGUCAGUGGCCCAACCGCAAGGGGGGAGCUGCCUAAGGUGGGAUCGGUGAUUGGGACG
rnacentral:rRNA from 1 species